UUACCUCGCAAGGGGUAACUGAGUGGCGAACGGGUGAGUAACACGUGGGUGACCUACCUUUGAAUGGGGGAUAACGUCCCGAAAGGGACGCUAAUACCGCAUAACAUCCUGCUUUUGAACAGGUGGAGAUCAAAGCCGGGGAUCGUAAGACCUGGCGUUUGAAGAGGGGCCCGCGUCUGAUUAGCUAGUUGGUGAGGUAACGGCCCACCAAGGCAACGAUCAGUAUCCGGCCUGAGAGGGCGGACGGACACACUGGGACUGAGACACGGCCCAGACUCCUACGGGAGGCAGCAGUGGGGAAUUGUUCACAAUGGGCGCAAGCCUGAUGACGCAACGCCGCGUGGAGGAUGAAGGUCUUCGGAUUGUAAACUCCUGUUGCUCGGGACGAAAAGCUUCGACCUAACACGUCGAAGUCUGACGGUACCGGGUGAGGAAGCCCCGGCUAACUCUGUGCCAGCAGCCGCGGUAAUACAGAGGGGGCAAGCGUUGUUCGGAAUUACUGGGCGUAAAGGGCGCGUAGGCGGCCUUCUAAGUCGAACGUGAAAUCCCUGGGCUCAACCCAGGAACUGCGUCCGAUACUGGGAGGCUUGAAUCCGGGAGAGGGAUGCGGAAUUCCAGGUGUAGCGGUGAAAUGCGUAGAUAUCUGGAGGAACACCGGUGGCGAAGGCGGCAUCCUGGACCGGCAUUGACGCUGAGGCGCGAAAGCCAGGGGAGCAAACGGGAUUAGAUACCCCGGUAGUCCUGGCCCUAAACGAUGAAUGCUUGGUGUGGCGGGUAUCGAUCCCUGCCGUGCCGAAGCUAACGCAUUAAGCAUUCCGCCUGGGGAGUACGGUCGCAAGGCUG
rnacentral:rRNA from 1 species